UAUUUACUGUACACUUUCUUCCACCAACUUAUACACAAACACACACAUAUAUACCAUGCAUCCCACAAGCACACACAAGACAACACUCAAGACCCCUCCCCACCCCAUGCUCAUUGGUCAAAAGUUUCGUCACAAAGACAACAGCUGUUUCCAGGAUGAAGAAGCUACUUUGAGGGUGCCAGCCAGUCUGCAGGCCUGCAACUGGAGACUCCCUUGGGUCUUUCGUGGUCUUCAAAGGGCACACUAAUAUACAUGCACACUUUAACUCUCUGGCAGCAAAACACUACCAGCUCCAUCUAGAGAUACAGACCAUUUGUCCCCUAUAUUAACACUGUGAUCUGUUCUCUGGAAAGAAUCCCAGAACAACUUCUUUACCCUUACCAACAAAGACAUGAUGAAUUUUUCCACAACAAAGGGUGCCAACAUGUCACAGAAGAGGUGAAGGCCCCUCUCCUCCUCUCAUUAUCCUGUGCAGAUGUUCAGUCUGAGGCCACUGGAGUAUCAGGUUACCACAAAUCUAACCGAUAUCAAAACUUAGUUUGGGGAAGCCUAAGCCCCAUUGCAAUCUUAGGUUACAGCCUUUUAUUAGUCCGGCUGACUUUUGGUAGCCGCUUUUAGCAGGAAACUUCCCUGCCUUCUUUUCAAAAGAGGUCCAAAUGAUCUACAAAAUUAAAGUGUGCUUUGUUGUACCAAUUAUUUUUAGUUUUCUUAUCAGUUUGACACUAAAGUAAAAUGAAUCAGGCUCAGUAAUCCUGUAUGUCUGAGUGAUAAAAACCAUUCCAGCAGAGGAGGAAAACAAUAGCUGUGAUAAGCAAACAGUGAGUUUGAAAUGGGAAAAUGAUCCAUGGUAGGGUAUUACAAUGCAGCUGAGAGGAAUUGGAAGCUUAAGGAAAGGAUGUGAUGGUAAUGAAUUUAAACCAGCAUAAUCCCUCCCAUCUGGGUCUAGAAAUUGUUUGAUAUUUAUGGUUGUAGACCUACACCACUAGGUAUGACAUUUUCUUACUUGGAAAUAUAAAAGAGAAAACUUUCACAGGGCUGUAAUUUGUUUUGUUCUCAUUUUGUUUUUAGUUUUAACCCUAGAUCCCUUUCAUAGCUCUCAGUGAGCUUAUGUGUAAAUUAGGUUAAUACCAAGACUGAAGUGUUGCACAUAGUUUGCAUGUCUGAAGUGGGAUUAAAGUGUUUGCAGAUCCAAUUCCAUA